GCUGACGAGUGGCGGACGGGUGAGUAAUGUCUGGGAAACUGCCUGAUGGAGGGGGAUAACUACUGGAAACGGUGGCUAAUACCGCAUAACGUCGCAAGACCAAAGAGGGGGACCUUCGGGCCUCUUGCCAUCAGAUGUGCCCAGAUGGGAUUAGCUUGUUGGUGAGGUAACGGCUCACCAAGGCGACGAUCCCUAGCUGGUCUGAGAGGAUGACCAGCCACACUGGAACUGAGACACGGUCCAGACUCCUACGGGAGGCAGCAGUGGGGAAUAUUGCACAAUGGGCGCAAGCCUGAUGCAGCCAUGCCGCGUGUAUGAAGAAGGCCUUCGGGUUGUAAAGUACUUUCAGCGGGGAGGAAGGUGUUGUGGUUAAUAACCACAGCAAUUGACGUUACCCGCAGAAGAAGCACCGGCUAACUCCGUGCCAGCAGCCGCGGUAAUACGGAGGGUGCAAGCGUUAAUCGGAAUUACUGGGCGUAAAGCGCACGCAGGCGGUCUGUCAAGUCGGAUGUGAAAUCCCCGGGCUCAACCUGGGAACUGCAUUCGAAACUGGCAGGCUUGAGUCUUGUAGAGGGGGGUAGAAUUCCAGGUGUAGCGGUGAAAUGCGUAGAGAUCUGGAGGAAUACCGGUGGCGAAGGCGGCCCCCUGGACAAAGACUGACGCUCAGGUGCGAAAGCGUGGGGAGCAAACAGGAUUAGAUACCCUGGUAGUCCACGCCGUAAACGAUGUCUACUUGGAGGUUGUGCCCUUGAGGCGUGGCUUCCGGAGCUAACGCGUUAAGUAGACCGCCUGGGGAGUACGGCCGCAAGGUUAAAACUCAAAUGAAUUGACGGGGGCCCGCACAAGCGGUGGAGCAUGUGGUUUAAUUCGAUGCAACGCGAAGAACCUUACCUGGUCUUGACAUCCACAGAACUUUCCAGAGAUGGACUGGUGCCUUCGGGAACUGUGAGACAGGUGCUGCAUGGCUGUCGUCAGCUCGUGUUGUGAAAUGUUGGGUUAAGUCCCGCAACGAGCGCAACCCUUAUCCUUUGUUGCCAGCGGUUAGGCCGGGAACUCAAAGGAGACUGCCAGUGAUAAACUGGAGGAAGGUGGGGAUGACGUCAAGUCAUCAUGGCCCUUACGACCAGGGCUACACACGUGCUACAAUGGCGCAUACAAAGAGAAGCGACCUCGCGAGAGCAAGCGGACCUCAUAAAGUGCGUCGUAGUCCGGAUUGGAGUCUGCAACUCGACUCCAUGAAGUCGGAAUCGCUAGUAAUCGUGGAUCAGAAUGCCACGGUGAAUACGUUCCCGGGCCUUGUACACACCGCCCGUCACACCAUGGGAGUGGGUUGCAAAAGAAGUAGGUAGCUUAACCUUCGGGAGGGCGCUUACCACUUUGUGAUUCAUGACUGGGGUGAAGUCGUAACAAGGUAACCGUAGGGGAACCUGCGGUUGGAUCACCUCCUUA
rnacentral:rRNA from 2 species